rnacentral:rRNA from 1 species
UACGAAGGGGGCUAGCGUUGUUCGGAAUUACUGGGCGUAAAGCGUAUGUAGGCGGAUCGUUAAGUCGGGGGUGAAAGCCCGGGGCUCAACCCCGGAAUUGCCUUUAAGACUGCAUCGCUUGAAUCCGGGAGAGGUGAGUGGAAUUCCGAGUGUAGAGGUGAAAUUCGUAGAUAUUCGGAAGAACACCAGUGGCGAAGGCGGCUCACUGGACCGGUAUUGACGCUGAGGUGCGAAAGCGUGGGGAGCAAACAGG